AGUAAUUUGCUUGGGUCCUCUUCUAAUGUGUGGCAGGUUUGUUUUUUCGCUCUUUGCAAUUAAAUCUUGCCAUUGCUCACUCUUUGGGUCCACACUGCUUUUAUGAGCUGUAACACUCACCGCGAAGGUCUGCAGCCUCGCUGCUGAAGCCAGCGAGACCACGAACCCACCGGGAGGAACGAACAACUACAGCUGCGCCGCCUUAAGAGCUGUAACACCGCGAAGGUCUGCAGCUUCACUUCUGAGCCAGCGAGACCACGAACCCACUAGAAGGAAGAAACUCCGGACAUGCCCCCUUUAAGAACUGUUAACACUCAGCGCGAGGGUCCGAGGCUUCUUUCUUGAAGUCAGUGAGACCAAGAACCCACCAAUUCUGGACACAGUGACAAGGAAAAGACAGCGGUAAUUGCCACAUUGAGUGAACCAAGUUUCUAAAUGGCUGGCAUUUGCAUAUUAAAGGUUGCCUGCCCGGCCCUUCAAGCCACCUUUUCUGUUAGAAAAGAGAUGGUUCGGGGCUGUUUUUUUAUUACAGGAAAAUUUCCUCCGAGAACCUUUACCCUGAGUAGCUGCCUGGAAAUUAUUUCUUAAGAACACCUGUAUCACCAGCCUGCAUCUCCCUCAAAGCAGAACCUGAGAUAAAAAGGCUUCUGUGUGAGUGUUUUUUCUGAGAAUGAGGGAAAUACAGAAAGACGGUGGAAGUGGGGAAGGAAAGCUCCUAAGAGUACGCAGUAUUGAAAUGGUCCCUGCCUGCAGGUGGCUGGUUUCUGACCAGGAUGAACAGCCUCUCUGAGUAUUUGAGUAAAGAACAAAGGCCGUUUUGGGGGAAGUCGGACCUGAAUGGGUCUUGGUGCACAAGAAGCUGAGAAAGCAGGAGAGAAGAAUCCAGAGGAAAAAGAGGGAUUCACACAGGAGGUACUCAGGACCCCACCUCUCAGGACCCCACCAUCACUCAGGACCCAACCUCUGCAUCACUCAGGGGGAGCCAUUUACCAUGCAAGAAGUUCUGCUACCCUGAGACCUUCAUGCUGUGAGAAGCCCAAAUCAGCUGAGCCGAGAGUUCAUGUGGAGGAGAAAUGAGGCUUCAGGCAACAAAUUCAGCUGUUUCCCAGCAAGUUGCCAGCACCAACUCUUCAGCCAUGUAUGUGAAACCAUGUUGGAAGUGGAUCCUCUUGCCCCUACUCAGACCUCCUCAGCUGAUGCCACAUGGAAUGCAGGUGAACUGUGUGUACAUUUUCAAGGGAUUCUGUAGCAAAGAAACACAAAUUAGGUGACUAAAACAACAGAAACUUUUUCUUUUACAGUUCUGGAGGCGAGAAGUCUGAAAUCAAGGUAUUAGCAAGGCCGUAUUCCCGUUAAGGCUUUAGGGGUGUAUCCCUCCUUGCUACUUGCAGCAUUUGGUAGCCCCAGCUAUUCCUUGUGUCAAUAAAGCCAAUCUCUGCCUCUGUCUUCACAUGGCCAUCUUCCCUCUAUGGCUGUGUCCCAAGUUCCUUCUUAUAAGGACACCAGCCGUUGGAUUAGGGCCCACUCUAAUGACCUCAUCUGAACGUUAUUACAUCUCCAAAGACCCUAUUUCCAAAUAAGGUCACAUUCAUGGCACUGAAGAUUAGGACUUCAGUAUAUCUUUUUGGAGGACACAAUUCCAUCCAUAACAAACUGUCCACAUUGAGCCCUGCUUUUUAAUUGAAGAAUUGUGAUCAAAUAAAUAGAAUGACGUUUUUGGCCCCUGAAUUUUGAAUUACUUUCUCACGUAGCAGUAAAUAAUGAACACAGCAAGUUAUUUCCCUUUGAUGCCUCCACUGUAAAGGCGCUGCCAUUUCCUGCCCUGAAUUGCAGGAAAUCUUUCUUUCUGUCAGUUUUUUUUCUCCCCAGGCUAUUUUUUUGUGUAGUAAAUGUUGGUGUAUACAGUUUUAUUUCUUUCUCAUUUUUAUUCACUUCCAAUUUUCUCCAUCUCAAGCAAAGUUUCACUGGGAGUUACGUUAUCUCUCUAGUAUGAUUAUUCCAAUAUGACUACAAAGUCUUCUCUUCUGUUUUCUCAAGUACCAAUGUUUUCCCUGUUGCCUCACAUUUUUAGAUCUCUGUUGAAUGUCUGGCCCUACGAUAGCUACAGACAUUUGAUUGAUCUCUUCUUCCCUUCAUCAGCAUGCACUUCCUCCCUCACUAGAAGGAUUUGACACUGGGUAUUCCCUUCUCUGACAGACCCAACUCCUUUUCUUUUUAUUGGCUUGGGCUGAGAACAAGGCAAGUGUGAUCUGAGCCACCUCUUAAGUAUAAGGAAUGUGGCUUUUAAAAAUGCAUGCACCCAGGAUUAUUCUCAAUUCAGAUUACCUUAAUUGGUGGUAAGAAUUGAAGCUGGAGUUGGGUAGUUAAUGAAGAUGCCAGGUGGGAAGGAGUGAAAUACUGGAGCCUGAAUGAACCUAUGGAAUAAUUCUUGUUAAUCCAUAUUUUAUUCCAACGUAACUUCUUUGUCACUCUUAUACAUCCAAAUCCUGGCUUGUAUCAUUUCUAGUUCUGAAAAUUACCUCCUUGUGACUUUUUGUAUUUACCCACAUCAUCAUCUCCUUAAAGACUCCAGCCUUGAACUCACUUCUCUUUCUCCCCACUCUUCAAUCACCUUGAACCUCUGGCAUUUCAUCCAUCUGCCCCAUGCAUUAUUACUAUAUCACAUCAGUCCCAACACAUACACAUACCCACAUACUCACAGAGAGAGAAUCUGGUGCCUCCAAAGGCUGACUGGUUGAUCCAAAAUACUACUGCUUGAAGAUAUUAAGAAAUGAGGGUAAGAAAGAAGUGCACAAUGAUCCCCUAAGUCUCAGGACCAAAGGACAUUCAAAAAGCAAGGAGCAUGGAGCAAAAAUGCAAAGGCAGGUACCUUCAAUACACAUCGUUCUACAGCUUUACAGGAUCCAACUUUCCAGAAGGUAUUAUGUUUCAUGAGUUCAGAAUGCAGUUCUCUCUUAUAAAUAAACAGUUCAGUAGGCCUUGCAGUACCUGAUCAAU
rnacentral:lncRNA from 1 species